rnacentral:misc_RNA from 1 species
AACGCACGAGACCUGCGGACCUGCGGAAGGAUCAUUACCGAGUUUACAACUCCCAAACCCCAUGUGAACAUACCUGUUUCGUUCCCUCGGCGGUGUCCGGCAACGGCCCGCCAGAGGACCCAACAAACUCUUUUGAAUUUUUCAGUAUCUUCUGAGUGAAAAAAACAAUAAAUCAAAACUUUUAGCAAUGGAUCUCU